AAUAUUGGACAAUGGGCGAGAGCCUGAUCCAGCCAUGCCGCGUGCAGGAAGACUGCCCUAUGGGUUGUAAACUGCUUUUGGAAGGGAAGAAGCCACUAUAUUUAUAUGGUGUUGACGGUACCUUCAGAAUAAGCACCGGCUAACUCCGUGCCAGCAGCCGCGGUAAUACGGAGGGUGCGAGCGUUAUCCGGAAUUACUGGGUUUAAAGGGUGCGUAGGUGGCCCUACAAGUCAGAGGUGAAAUCAUUGAGCUUAACUGAAUAAUGGCCUUUGAAACUGUAGAGCUUGAAUCGGGAUGAGGUGAGCGGAAUGUGGCAUGUAGCGGUGAAAUGCAUAGAUAUGCCAUAGAACACCGAUUGCGAAGGCAGCUCACUAGACCUAGAUUGACACUGAGGCACGAAAGCGUGGGGAGCGAACAGGAUUAGAUACCCUGGUAGUCCACGCCCUA
rnacentral:rRNA from 1 species